rnacentral:miRNA from 17 species
CAGUUAUCACAGUGCUGAUGC